rnacentral:rRNA from 1 species
GAUGAACGCUGGCGGCGUGCCUAAUACAUGCAAGUCGAGCGAACAGACGAGGAGCUUGCUCCUCUGACGUUAGCGGCGGACGGGUGAGUAACACGUGGAUAACCUACCUAUAAGACUGGGAUAACUUCGGGAAACCGGAGCUAAUACCGGAUAAUAUAUUGAACCGCAUGGUUCAAUAGUGAAAGACGGUUUUGCUGUCACUUAUAGAUGGAUCCGCGCCGCAUUAGCUAGUUGGUAAGGUAACGGCUUACCAAGGCGACGAUGCGUAGCCGACCUGAGAGGGUGGUCGGCCACACUGGAACUGAGACACGGUCCAGACUCCUACGGGAGGCAGCAGUAGGGAAUCUUCCGCAAUGGGCGAAAGCCUGACGGAGCAACGCCGCGUGAGUGAUGAAGGUCUUCGGAUCGUAAAACUCUGUAAUUAGGGAAGAACAAAUGUGUAAGUAACUAUGCACGUCUUGACGGUACCUAAUCAGAAAGCCACGGCUAACUACGUG